GCGCAGGAGGAGGGGGGUGGGGUUGGUAUCGUCGUGUCCGUUCUCUGAGCGUGUCGCUGGCGGCGGCUGCCGCGACUGCUGUGGGGAGGGGCGAGCGGCCGGAGGCAGGAUGGAGAAGGCGGCGCUGAGCCGGAGGGAAGUUGUGUGAGGGGAGGCUCCGGCAUUGGGGGAGGCAGGCGGCCUGAGAGAGCCGAGGCGGCGGCGGGGAUCGUGUGGGGGCGGCCGGGGCCGGGGCCGGGGCCGGGGCUCCGGCUCUGUAGGCAGGCAGGAUGGAGCAAGAGGAGAUCCUGAGGAAAUUCAUCCAGCGCGUCCAGGCCAUGAAGGACACGGACCACAAUGGGGACGACAACUUCGCUAGCGACUUCAUGAGGUUAAGAAGAUUAUCAACCAAAUAUAGAACUGAAAAAAUCUAUCCAACAGUCACUGGAGAAAAAGAAGAAAAUGUUAAAAAGAACAGAUAUAAGGACAUAUUGCCAUUUGACCACAGCCGGGUUAAACUGACUUUAAAAACACUCCCGCAAGAUUCAGACUAUAUCAAUGCAAAUUUUAUUAAGGGAGUACAUGGGCCAAAAGCAUAUGUUGCUACCCAGGGACCAUUAGCAAAUACAGUAAUAGAUUUCUGGAGAAUGAUAUGGGAGUACAAUGUUGCAAUAAUUGUAAUGGCUUGUCGAGAGUUUGAAAUGGGACGGAAAAAAUGUGAGCGGUACUGGCCUUUGCAUGGAGAAGAAAGUGUAACUUUUGGACCAUUUCAGAUUUCUUGUGAAGCUGAACAAGCAAGAACAGACUACUAUAUUAGAACGCUAUUACUUGAAUUUCAAAAUGAAACUCGUAGGGUAUAUCAGUUUCAUUACGUGAACUGGCCUGACCACGAUGUUCCGUCAUCUUUUGAUUCUAUUCUGGACAUGAUCAGCUUAAUGAGAGAAUACCAGGAGCAUGAAGAUGUGCCUAUUUGUAUACACUGCAGUGCAGGGUGUGGAAGAACAGGAGCCAUCUGUGCCAUAGAUUAUACAUGGAAUUUGCUAAAAGCUGGGAAAAUACCAGAAGAAUUCAAUGUAUUUAAUUUAAUACAAGAAAUGAGGACACAAAGGCAUUCUGCAGUGCAGACCAAGGAGCAGUAUGAACUUGUCCAUCGAGCCAUAGCACAACUGUUUGAAAAGCAACUACAGAAAUAUGAGAGUCGCACAGACUGGAAGAUUGCUGAUGGAGUGAAUGAAACUAGUACAGAGAAAACUGUCAAUUCUGUAGAUCUUGAGAAACAAGACUCUCCUCCACCAAAGCCUCCACGGACCCGCAGUUGUCUUGUAGAAGGAGAUGUUAAGGAAGAAAUCUUGCAGCCUCCAGAGCCUCACCCAGUACCACCCAUCUUAACACCAUCUCCUCCUUCAGCUUAUCCGACAGUCACUACUGUGUGGCAGGACAAUGAUAGAUACCAUCCAAAGCCAGUUUUGCACAUGGUUUCAUCAGACCAUUCAACAGACCUCAAUGAAAACUAUAAUAAAUCAACAGAACAUUCAGGGAAAAAUGAACCCAAUGAACGUAUGGAGAAAAAGCUGGAGCGCAACUUAAGUUUUGAAAUUAAGAAGGUACCUCUUCAGGAGGGACCACGAAGCUUUGAUGGGAAUACUCUUUUGAACCGAGGACAUGCAAUUAAAAUGAAGUCUGUUCCUUCUUGUGUAAUGCAUAAGAACUCUAAGCCACUGGAUCAUAGUUCAGGGGAUUCACUCAUAGACUCUUUUCAAAACUCUAGUAUGGAAUACAGUGUGCCACAAUCUAACAAAGCCUUAGUAGCUUCGCUGGAAGGGCUGCAGAGCCAGAAGGAUUCUGAUGCUCCACCAAGACCAGACCGUCUGCUUCUCAAAGAGAAGGGGCAUGCCAAGUGGUCACUACAUGGGCCUGAAAAUGCACUGCCUACAUCUGCGUCUGAGGCUAUGUCCUCAGACGUCUUAAGUCAUAGUAUUAAAACUGCCUCUCUGGUACCAAACCCCACAUCUCAAGUGGAAUGCUCUUCCAGUGAAAUAGCUGAUCGUCAGAACAGUACGCUUUUAGUUAGAGCACCCCUCUGUUUCACUAAUCCUCUUCAUUCCGAUGAUUCUGACACAGAUGAGAGGAACGUUGAUGGAGCCAUGACCAAAAGUAUGUCUAAUAUUUCAACCGCAAGUGCCACAGUUUCUGCUUCCACUAGUACUGAAAACAUUUCUGCUAGAAAAGUAUUAUCAAUGUCCAUUGCUAGACAAGAUGUUCCAAGCAUAAGACAUUCUGAAGAGGAAAAAGUCUCAGCCUAUUAUACCAGGCUUUUCAGACUUUGCACCUUCCUGUUAAGGUUUUAUGCUGCUGCUUGCAGUUUGUACCAGUUUCUUCCCUCCCAAGGCGUACCGCUUCCUGAAGUCUUUCUGCUGCUCCUCACAUCCAGGUACAGUUUUUUCUGCCCUGGGCCUCCUUUCUGAUGGGGAUUUACUAUUCUUCAUAGCUAGAUAGUUUAUUCCUGCCCUCCCUGGGCCUAGAUUCUAAGGAGCUAUCAUGCAGUUUUUCCUUUCGUAGAGUCCCUCCCCAGUCCUUUUCAAGCUCUCUUGUCUUGUUUUCUCUCUAAUUAUACUCCCAAUCAGGCGCCACCUGCCCCUCAUUAGGCUCCCAACUGGUUGCACCUCUUAGUCUCCAGAGAAGCUGGACCCACUUCAUUUAAGAGGCCAGCCACCCUGUGACAUAACCGUACGAAGGCUAUUUGUGACACUUACUUGGUUGUAAAAUACUUCGAGAUGGAAGUGCUAAUAAUUAGUUAAAAGUCCUAAAGAAGAGACUGUACACGCGUGUGUGACCUUUUCUUGUCUAUACUAGAAAAAUUUGGCACGCUAACCACUGUUACAGGCAUGCCAGCAAGUCCACAUGCCAGGCUUCCAACAGUACACCAGUGCUCACGGACUUUGUGGAUGCCAUUUGAGUUAAUUAUGAAUCUGUUCAUCUCCACCAUUGCAUCACCAGGGUAGAGAACAGUACUGGCAUAACAGCUGCAACAGUGCAAUUCGUGUGCAUUACUGUGCACCAAUCGUUCAGGUGCUUCUGUAUUGUACAAGGGUCAAAUUUGCUAGAAGCCUUUCACCCGUUCAAAUUGGAUUGCAUGUGCUUGGGAUGUCAGUACAUGUGUUCUCACAGUCUCUUGAGUUACCAGGCCACUUUUGUAAUAUGUCAGAAGAAACCAUCAUAUAAAUGUGCUGCCAGCUGGUUUGGAAGUGUCCCAGUGUUUAAGAACUGGAGCAACCAGCAGAUUACUCCCAGCUGAACUGAUUCAUAAUACCAUGUUUUGCAGCUGGGUUCCAAAUGUCUUGCCAAGCAAAGUAUCAUUAAUUCUGGGAGAAGAUAGAGGGUCUGAAGGUCCAGUGCAACAAGGCCUGGAAUGUUGACAGCUGCUCCACAGCACAGUGGAAGACACCUAUUUAUGACACAUUGAUGAUAUUCUCAGCACAUCAUCAUCUGAGUUUAUUUUAGUCUGAGUUCAUUUUGGACAGCAUCAAAAAAGCUAGCAAUGUGCUGUUGAGAGACCAGGAAAGGUGGAAAGGACAUAUGUGGUCAAAUCCAGAACUGAUGUGGAUAAAGGCUUAUCCAAAACUGUUCUGGGUGCUGAAGAUCUCUUGGCAGAGUGUCUCUUUCUGGAUACAAGCAGAUGAGCAAGCUUUAAACGAGGACUUGGGAGAUGAAAGGUCCUCUAAACAAGAUAUGUUGCUGUUAGUUUACUCCUCUGAAAGUAAUGUCACAAGCUUAGAGUGAAAGCUUAACAAUGGAAAGAGGAAGGUAUUUGUAGAUGUUUUUUGUUCUGUUACUAACAUUUUGGAAAAAGGAAGCCUUUGUUAAAAAUUAAACAUGCCCUAACUUUCUGUUAAGGUGCGAGAGCUGACUAUAUGUUCUCUGGAAAUAUCUGUUUAGAAACCACUACUGCAUCAAGGCCACAAUUUGGAAAUGUUAGUUACACCAAGAUAGUGAACAGGCAGCACCCCAAGGAGCGGAUACUUGACCUAUCUCUAUGCUAAGGCAGAGCAAGAGGUGAAAUGGUGACCAUCAUAGGGGUGUGAAAAUACACAGUAAUAGAAUUUGAGGUGGAGGACAAGAAACAGAAGUUUGAGGACAGUCCACCUUUUUUGUGUACAUUCAGGGAAGAGGACCGAGAAGCCAUGAUGGAAUACACCUAUUGUGACAGGGAAAUGAGCCUACUGGGAAAAGAGUACCACAGGGAGCUCUUCACAGGAAAUAAAUGCAGAGCAAGAGGCAAACUGCAGUUUGUUCCUCUGACUCCCUGCACAUGUGCAUUAUGUUCCAGCUCUUCAGUACAGUGCCAUUAGACAGGAGCACUACAUGUUGGACUGGCCAUUCUUACCUGCUUCUUCCUGGGCAUUCCCAUGCAACUCUACCCCUCAUCUGGAUUAGGGAAAAAGACAGAGAAUCCACAGAAGAUGCAAUUCCUGUCCCUACAGUAUCUAUUUACAAACUGUUUUAUUAUGUGUUUUGCAUUGAUUACUUCAGCUGGCCUGUAUGUGUUGUGUUUAAAUAAAGAUGGUUUUCAGUA